CUUUUUUUUUAAAAGUGUAGGUAUCCAAAUUUUGUCUAACCAGCCAAAAAAUUUCGGUUGAGCCGUCCAAAUUUUGCUUUCAGCGGGUCAAUGUCCGCCUGGUUUUAAUCAAUCUCACAAACCACCAAACUAGUUUCGAGUGAGUGGUCGGUUUGUGGUCGAUUCUGCUGGGUUUUCUAAACAAAUGAUAGUAACUCAAUUUCUCUUCAACCCCAAUUUCUACAGCAUUUCACUGGAAGCCGGAAGAUGAGGCGCUAUACUCCACAAACUGCUGGGCUAGGAUUAUGGGCUUCCAGUAGAACCCAAUCGUCAAGCCCACACCCACCACCAGUAUGUCAGACCCAAAUACCAUAAGAGUUGAAAAGCCCAAUGCCCAAGGUCUUAUAUUAACCAUGGGCAAGAUGGUUAAUUUUCCGCAACUCCACCACCUCCGAUCGCCAAACCACCUGCUUCGGUCAUUUAUUUUGCAUUUGUGUCUCCAAAUUGUUAACUAUUAAAUCUAGGUUAAUUAUUUUGAACAGCUGGGGCGUAUGGGUCUUGUUGGAUCCGAUCAAGGAUUUGAUUUUCUCGAUCGGAUCCGGAUUCGGGGCUAACAUAGUGUUAUGCAUAUAUACGAUGAUUUACGUUGACCAUGCGUGCACCUUUGAGGUCGAUCCGGGGGAAUAGGGAGCACUUCUAGAAUGCUGUCACUGUCAAAUUCAUAUUUGACAUGUGAGUUAGAAUCUAAGAAGAAGGAAAACAACACUUUGAGAAAAACACACACAUUGACAAAAAUGGGUAAAUAUUGGACUUUGGUUCUGUUUGAUAAUGGAUCGUCAUAAUUUUACUAUCGAAUUUAAAUAAUAGGGCAUUUAACAGUAAAAUAUAGGGUGUUUUAUAAACCGUUCCGAAAACAAUUGGCUGUUUUGGAUAAAGUUUGAACACUUAUUAAAUAGCUGUAUAUACGGUCCCCCAGACUGAUUGAUUGGCCGGUGUUGAGUGUAAUCCCCAUGCAAAGUAAUUAAAAUAUCCUUUUGUUGGACACGUGUCAGUUUCCCUCCCUCUGAAACUUUUGUCUCUUUUCGCCGGAAACGUCGCCGGAAUUCUACUAAUCACUGUCGGCGUCUACGAAGCAAAGAACGGUUUACUUAAUUUCAUUAUCAUUAUCAUCAUUGUUUAAUUCCCGAUGAUAGUCCAAAUAGUUCACAUUAUUUCAUUUCAAGAGCGAUGUUAGAAUUAUGAACAAAAACACGUACACGUAAUAUAUUAAUUAGUAAAUCUUGGACAGCUUGGAUCUCAUAUGAAGCAACUUUUAUUGACUUAUAUAAAGCUAUUAAUUAAUUUCUCGUAUUUCUAUAAAAACAUAAUCUUUUUAGUUAUUUUGAUGGUAUUUUAUUUUUAUUGGUCGAUAAAUCUAUAAUCAUGCCUAAAUUAAAAAAAAUUAUUAUGAUAGAGAAUAAUUAUCUAUGUGGGUACAUAUCUAUGAGAGUUUCUUCUUUAAUUUCUUCCAAGCACUGGCUCAGACUAUUUCGAAGUUUAGAGCUUUCAUAAUAUGUAAAUUUUCUUAUAUUGAUUAUAUAUUUAUUGGGAUCUUUUAAUGAAUUGUCUAAUGUAUUUAUAUCAAAAUUUAACGUUUUAAUUUAAUAUAUUAAACCUUUUCAAAUCCGCCGCAGUAGCAAAUCACUAUCAUAGCUAAUAUAGAAACAGUGCAUUAUUACAUGAAAUUACUUACAUCCAAAAUACUAGGAGGCAUCUCAAACCUCAACAUAUUACUACAAUAGCUAUCUCUCUCGUCCUCCGUACUACUACCGGCGUUGAAAUUAUUCAAAGUUGAGUUGGAGUUCAACCGCGUCGGGCUCGACGACGGCGUUGAAAACACGGACGCCGCCGCCGCUGACAAGUCCAUAAUAGUAUUGCCCGUUUGGUGAUCAUCAAACGACGACGUCCCGGGGUAGUAGUCGUGAAGAUGAUCGUUGUAGCUGUCCGACGUAUAACUUCUCUGCCAAUUAUCAGAAGGGCCCACCUCGACACGUGGCACAUUUGUAAUGGUUGCGGUGGUGGCCAGUGUAGUAGCUGUCAUGUCCUGAAACUCAGGGUUGACCAUCGGUUGGUAGUGCUGGUCAUAAAUUCCUCCGGUUUGGGUUUGGGUUUGGUUUUGGAGUUGGGUUUCGGGUGAUGAUGAUGAUGAGACGAGGGAAGUGGCGAGGUGUAGAAUUUCAGGGUUGACCAAGCAAAGCAACCUCGAGAUGUUAGGCUGCGAGGAGGAAAAGGAUGAGCCCAAAAUGGCGGAGAGGUCUAAAAGAUCGAGUCUUGGAUUGUGCGUUACCGGAUCAAUCCCCAUUCUCAACAGUCUCUUUCGAAUGUGUGUGUUCCAGUAGUUUUUAAUCUCGUUGUCCGUCCUUCCUGGCAAGCGAGAUGCAAUCGCCGACCACCUACUUAAAAGAAAUUGAAUGACAAACGAAUUAGUACUUAACUAAUGAAAAAUUCAUAAUUAACGUACCUUUUUAGAGGUAAUAGUGCUAGUACGUAGCGAGAACCUCUCAAUUAACUUACUUGUUUCUGAGAAUACCAUGAAGCUGAAUAAUAGCCUCCUCUUCUUCGAACGAGAACCGGCCUCUCUUGAUAUCGGGUCGAAGAUAGUUAGUCCACCGAAGACGACAACUUUUACCACACCUUUGUAACCCUAUUAAUAUUGCCACACAAAAACAAAGCAAAAACUUAGAGUUGAUCAAAACGCUUGACAUCAACGACGAAUCCAAAACAAUUGAGUGCACUAAAUUGAAAUGGAAGGGCGAGAUAAUAAAGUACCGGCAUUUAAAGGGAGGGUGCGCCAAUUGCCAUAGCCAUGAAGUUGAAUGUAAUCGAUGAGCUUUUGGUCUUCCUCGGGAGUCCAUGGCCCUUUCUUCAACCCAUUCUUUUCACAAGUUCUUAAGGGCGAUCUUCCCAUGCUGAGUAUCACAGAGGAUGAUUGGAGAAGAAGAUGUAGAUAGCUAGGGACCGUUUGGAGAAGAAGUUUUGGGUUGGUAUAAAUAAAUAGAGAGAAAUUAAAAGGGAAGUGGAAAGUCAAAAGGGUUGGGUGCCGCCCACUUUGCAAAUUUCCAUGUCGACGUGUCCCUCUAAAAACAUUACGUCGUGUGAUGUAAUAAUAUAAGAAACACAAUAUAAGAGUAAUUGUCGGUCUAUGAAGUGUAACGCAAUUAAAACUUGGUAUGUCCGAAUCGCUAAUACGCAACGUCAUUAACUACAACUACUCCGCUUGGAUGCAUUCGAUGAGUAUAAUAUAUAGCCAUAUAUCUAAGUCGAUAAGAUUAAUUUUGUAUUCCAAUUUCUUGAAUAAUGUAUAUAUUCGUCAUUCUCGUAUUAAUAUUUCACCAUGUCAAUCUCGAAUGUUAUUCAUGUUGGAUGAAAUAAAACAUGAAGGGAGAAAGAUAUAUAUAUAGUCACUUAUUUAGUUAUUUAAAGUUCUACUCAACUAUUUUUUUUUUUAAAUCAAGUGAUCUAUUGAAUGUAUAAUUAAUAUAUAAUAAUAAGUAAUCGUUAUAAAAUUAGUCCAAAUUAAUAAUUCAAAUUUAGAAGAUAAUUUUUUUUUAAUACAUCAUCAUACUGUUGGGUACUAUUGGGCCUUCUCACCCCAAAAACUAGUUCAAAAGGUGAGGCUUUCCCUCACACUUAUAAACAGCACCCAACCCCUUCCACUCUCCGAUGUGGGAUAACCCAACAACCUCCCCCUCACACAUCGGUCUCUCGGUAGACAUUACCCAUCUAUCGGCUCUGACCGGAUCACCAUCGGUCCUUCGGACCGGAUCUCGGGAGGUGUUGUCAACCUGGGCUCUGAUACCACUGUUGGGCGCUAUUGGGUCUUCUCACCCCAAAAAUUAGCUCAAAGGGUGAGGCUUUCCCUCACACUUAUAAACAGCACCCAACCCCUUCCACUCUCCGAUGUGGGAUAACCCAACACAUACUUUGCUUUUGGUGUCUUUGACUCUUUACUUUUGAUUUUUAGGCGGCUCGUUCUAUGACACGGGUGAUUCUGUCUAGCUACUAAGGAACUUGUCGGCAAUUUUAGCUUUGCUAAUGUAGUUACUCUUCACAGAGUUAGUUCCGGCCAAAUAUAAUUUGAGUUAUUUAUAAUCAUACACUAUAUUUAACGAAAGUUAUAGGAAUGUAACGGUGAAAUGAUGAUACACAUAAAGGCAAAUAUGAAAUGAAAGUUCAUAAAGAUAGAAUUUGUCAUUUGUCAAAAGGGUAAGCCCAAAAAAAAAAGAUGAAAUUUGUCCACAUAAUUGGCAUGUGUAAAUCAUGGUGUAAACAUGCAUGCAUAAAUAUGGCAAAUGUAUACAUGGCUACAUAUUUCUAUAUGGAUCCAAAUUACCGGCCCAUGCCAAAACAUGGCAUCUUCUUACAACUAAUCAGGUCUUGGUUAAUUCAAAAAAAAAACUAUUCGAAAAUAAAUUGGAUAAAACUGCCCAAAAAGAGAAAAGAAACAAAUAUAACAAAAGAUGUCUAUAUGUAGAGCGUGGUUGGAUUUAAAACCAAUACCUCUAAAUCUCCAACUACAUCGAUAGAAAGAUGAAGCUAAAUGGGUCAAAUGAAUAUAUAAUUUUAUGUUAAAUAUUAGAUUCAAAUUCUAAACACCACUUGAAUUAAUUUGAAAUUCUUAUCAUUUUACCACAAUACAUUUCUUCGGAGCUUUUGUAUGGAUGAUAAGGCCCAAAGCUAAAGUUCCCAAGGUUUGGGGAUGUCGCCAUCCGGAUUCUCAAACUUGAUGUCGCACGUAUGAUCCACUUGCCCAAUCAACCCUCAAACGAAACUGAAUCGACACGUAACUACCUCGCCGCCCGGACGUCUGAUUUUCUUCUCCCGUUUGAGAGGUUGAUGUGUGUCCAUUGUCGCACGAACUCACAUCACAGCUUUGUUUCCAUCGUAGUACUGGGUCGCAUCAUACUUCUCAAAGCGACCCGCAAAAUUUCCUAGCGUCCUUCCCACCGCCUCUGUAGAGAACCCUGGCGGUAGAUCGUACACAACAACCCAGAAUUCCGAGUGUGUUAAUCUCGCAGUCAGUGGGUUCUCCCCCGCCUUCAACUCGUGUAGGAGGAGCAGACACCCAUUAUGUGUCCACGGACCUGCAUCGACUACCCCACGGAGGUCGAGCUUAUGGUAGAUACGAAAGAGGAGACGUCGAUCCUCCAGGGCACGUACCGACAUGUUCGUCUUUGGCCUCCACAGUUUCGCCAUUCGCUCUUUCACGAUCUCCAAAUUGAACACUCUCUCCGUAAGGAACUUCCUAACUACGCAUAAGGUCAAAAUCUUUCGUAACUGGUGCUUGAGAUUCCAAGCCUUCAACCUCCUCGACUUGAUCCUCCGCUGCAGCGAGCGUGAGCGCCGAUAGCCUAGCUUCCAUUUUGAUUUUAAACAAGCCUGCUGGACAAUAAACGAGUCGAGUUCGCGCUGACACUGGUUGGCUCACGACCCAGCUCGUUUGAGGCUCGAUUACAUGUUCGAGAGUUUGCUUGAUUACCAGCUGAAUUAAGACUCGUUCGUUGGCUCGAUUAGUACAGUUCGUGAAUUGGUCCUAUAGAUUUUGAUGGUUGGGAUGUUCUUAUAUCAUCUAAAAAAAUAAAAAUAUGGUGACGAAUUAUGUUAUUUUAAAGAUAAAUUACUUCUUUAUAAUGUAUGAGUCGUGUCCAUUUUAGAAUAUUAUAUUUGAAUGUUCUUAUAUCAUUUAAAAAAUAAGAACAUAGUGACGAAUGAUGUUAUCUUAACGGUUAAUUAUUUGUUUAGACUAUACGAGUAGUGUCCAUUAUAGAAUAUUCUAUUUUUUUAUAACUUUGUCCGAGUUGAACUUCAAAGUUAACUUAAAUUAUUAAGAAUUGCAAACGAGCCGAAUCGAACUCGAACUCGAGCUUGUUAAGGCUUAUAAACCAAGCCGAGCCGUUAUUUGGUCGAGCUGAGCUCGAGCUGCUAUUACAAACAAACGAGCCCAGCUACAAGUUGGAACUGACACUUCGUUUACGUCGAUGAGAUCUUCAAAGCUCGGAACUGUUGAAAAUGCUGUAAACGAAAUUACCCAGAAGAUGAGAAGGUGGUGACCAAGUUGCAACUUGGCUAUAAUGAUUAUCUGAUUAUCAUAUGAAGAAGAAGGGAUACAGUGGUCAUUAUUUGCAAUUAUUUCAAUCCAAUUGUACAUGGAAAGACAAAAUUACAAGUAGUCUAAAUUAGCACGGAUGAUGGGAAGAACAAAAAAACCCCAUCGCUGUCCAAAAUGUAAUAAUGCAACAGAAACAGAACAAAUCAGAAAGGGAAUAAAUAAUAAUACAUAAACCGACAAUUUCCAUCCUCCUCUUCGUUUCCUGGUCCAGCCCCUGCAACAGAGUUUCGUUUGCCAAUGUCGGCCCCAAAGUUCGAGCUUUUGCUCACAUUGCUCUUCUUCAUGUUCUUCUUCUCUCUGGUACCUACCAUCGAACCCAAGACCUGGUGACUAUGCUUCGACAAACAAAGUCAACCGGCCCUGAGAAUCAAGGCGCUGGAGUGGAAUGUCAAUCUUUAUUCUUCAGUAUGUGCAUUCUUUCUUCCGCUGGGAUUCAGGGCUUUGAAUCAACACCCUGCAAGUGAAGGAAGACAAGGGAGAAACUUGACUAACUGGUUUCAUACACUUGAGAUGGUCAUCACAGAAGGCGGAGCAUCUCUUCUCGGACCAGCAACAGUCCGAUAAACGUAAACCUUAUCGGCUUUACAAUCGUCACUCCCUUCCUCCUUCAUCACUUCUACAUUCAACCUCGGCAUCUCCCUAGCCAACACCCUGCACCCGCUCAUCGUCACGUUGCAAGCCGACAUCCAGAGCGACCUCAUCGACUCAUACUUCUCCAACCCUGAAAGCAGCGCCGCGUUUCCAAAGGGGCAGUCUCGGAUCUCGAGCUUCCUCAACUUCGGGCAGCCUUCUAAAAUGGACUGCAUCCCAAGAUCGCUGCUUCCAGCAAAGGCUACCGAUAGGGUUUCUAAAUUCUUCGCAUAUCGGCCGAUGUACUCGAAUGUUGAAUCGGUGAGGAGCCCCGAAACGGAGAGCCUCUGGAGCUUCUUGCAGGUUUUGACCACCGCACCAAAGGCUUCGUCCAUUGGUUCGUUGGUGACAUGGUCUGGUUGGCCAGGAUUCAUGAUGCAGAGACGGAAGUGGGUGAAGUCGGGGCAGUUUUUGACGACUGUUGCUACAGCAUCAUUAGUCAUUUGACGGCAGAAGUAGAGGAUGUAGUGGAGCUUUCGGCAUCCUUGCGAGACAGCAACGAUACCUUCUUCAGUUACUGCAUGAAGCAUGUCCUCGUCAAAGGGAUCGGCUGGGAAGACUCGAAGCUCUUCCAACAAAGGACAUUUCUCUCCUACAGCUUCUAGUCCUUUGUCUCCAACUGAGUCCAGAACCUGAAGCAAACAGUGGAGGGAAAAGCAUCAUAACCGUCAUAUAUAGGCGGACCACUAAACAUCUCAAUUUAUAACAACUUAGUUGUUAUAAGAAUGACUUGCUGAACAAACGGAGAAGAGGGAGCUAAAGGGUAUUUUCUUACCCAGAGGCGGCGAAGAGAAGGGCAAUGAGGAAGCAGACUACCGAGUUCUUGACUUUGCAAAGCAGCGUAACUCAAGUUUAGGAAAGUGAGCCGUGAGCAGGACGGGUAGAUAGCUGAGAGAUUCAACGUUGUUGCUUCCCACAAACCAGAAAGUACAUUGAGAUUCUUGCAUAGACUGAAAGCAUGUUCCAGAUCAGAAUACUGGCGUGGCGUGAGUUCUUGUGAGAAAGAGCCAGCACCGAGUUCAGUCAACUGAGGUGCAUAACAAAGCAACCUCUGGAGACAAUCCAGUGAAAUGCUCCUGUUAACUUUGAGAACCUUCAACGAUCUGCAUCUUCUUACAAGCCUCUCGAGAACUUCAGGGUUCACAUCAGUGUUCAAGUUCGAGAAAUUGAGCACUUCUAAUGAGUUGAAGUUCUCAGGAAAACAGCUUAACCAAUCCCCACUGCUGUCUUCUAUGCCGUUCUCCUGUAUGUCCAGCUCAGUCAGAUUCCUGAAAGAAACAAAACAUCAGAAAAUGGUUUUAGAUCUGAAAUUAGCACUCCCGCAAAAUUAAUCUCCGGUACGAUUCACAAAACCACGGUAGAAAUUUAAUUCGUUUCACAACUCCAAAACUACCGGAGUACCCAAUCGAGAGGACAAAUAUUCAUUUCUGGUUAAACCCCACCGAUGUUCACCUAUAAUGGCAAAUGAUUAACAGGGUAAAUACUAAAUAGACGCAGAAUUCUGAUAGAACAGCAGCAACAAUAACAAGAAGUAGAAACAAAGACAGCAAUGAGUUAAACAUUGUAUUAUCUGCUUUGAAUUACUAUUCUCCAUAUCACGAUAAAGUCAAUUCUUGAAGUCAUUCCUCACUCAAAUUCAAUGGUUAGUAUGAUUGCCAAAACAGCGUAGAAAUUUGACUCAUUGCACAAAUGCAGAACUGCCAGAGCAUCAAAUUGGUUAAAAGAGUAAUAAUUUCUGCAUAAACCCCACAGAUAUUAACCCAUGAUGGCAAAUCAUUAACCGGGUAAAUACUAAAUACACUCAGAUUGGCUUAUAGAAGAUCACUAUUAUUAGCGCAAUUAUUGAUUGGUUUUGUAGCAUAGAGGAAAAAGAAAUGGGAUAUUUGUGGAGAAGAAAUGACAUCAAGUACAUGCCAUGAUCCAUUAUUAAUGUUCAUUGUAUAGGCCAUACGUGGAAAAGGAACCAACCAAUAAAGAAAUGGAAAAGUAAAACCAGGGGAAUAGGAUAACCACUUUCCCCGUCAUACCUUUCCCAAUUGCAUCUCUCAAUCUUUUCUUUUCUGGAAUUAUAUAGUGAAUCAAUCAAAACCGGUGAGGCUAAGCAUCCAAACUUCCGAUUCAAAGGUUUAACGAUGAAAUCAUAAAAUUCGUAUCCCAAGCAGCCAUUAACAGUACUAGCUAAGUUCCCCUCAGCAUUUUCUCCCUAGUCUAAUACCUUUCUCAAUCAAUAAAUUACAGCUAAACUAGGUCAGAUCUGGAACAAAAAGCUAGCAAACGGGAUUAAUUCACCAUCUUCCUAACCUGCAAUGAGCGGCGAAGGCGGCAAGUCCGCAAGUACUGAAUCCGUCGCAGCUCAACAGCGAAAGAGCUUUGAAAUUAGGAAACUUAAGAGCCAAGAACUGCAAGCUCUUGUCGGUAACCCUCAUUCUCUUCAACCGAAGCUCCUCAAGGAACGGAUAUUCAGACGCGAACACCUCCAGCCACGACUGCACAUCGGCGCCCCAGUUGUCAGGGACGAGGUUGAAAUCGGAGAACCUCGGUUUCCCCUUGAGCGUGACACUCCGGAUCCUAGGGAAGCGGCGGACGACGAUCUCAGGUGAGACUGAAUAGCAGUUCCCGAUGAAGACGUGAGUCCUGGACCAGCUCUCGGCGCUGUACCAGUCCUUGCAGACCAAGGAGACGGAGCUACGGUCCUUGUGAGAUUUGACCAGAGAGAGGACUCGCUCGAGUACCUCGUCGGGGAAGAGGUUGGUGGUGGCGGUCCGUUUGGGGCUCCGAUCCAUGGCCGCCGGAGAUUGAGAGGGAGAGAGAUUGUGGAGUCAAAGGUGGUGAAUGAAGGAAGCUGCUGUGUUGUGUGGAUGUGGAGGUGGAUGAGCUUUAAGCAAAGAGCCAAAAGAAGGGGGAAGAGGAGUUACAGCUUUAUUGCGUAUUAUAGAAAAAGAGAAAGCUCUGAAUAAUUAGUGUGACUGCAAAAAUAAUAAUAAUAAUAAUAAUAAUAAAUAAUAAUAAAAUCAAUGAAUGAAUAUUUUAUUGGUUUAUUUUAANNNNNNNNNNNNNNNNNNNNNNNNNNNNNNNNNNNNNNNNAAAAUUAGAGAUUUAAAAUAGUUAAAGAUUUGAAAUAAUUAAAAAGAAUUAAAAAAACAGAUUUUAAAUAAUUAAUUAAUUAAAAUGAAGAGAUUUGGAUAUAACUUACUAUUUUUUACAGUUUGAGUAGAUGUUUUGUAGGUAAUUUCGAGUGUAAUUAUUUUGAAGAAAAUAAAAUAAAAUUAAAAAUUAAAAAGAGAAAAAUACAAUUAAUUAAAGAAAAUGAACUAGAGCUGAUCAUUCAAUUAUCCUCUUUAUAUGUCCUCAAAACUUCCCAACUAGUUCAAUGUGAAUGUUUUCAACAAAACAGUGGACAUUGUUUUUUAAAACUAUAUUACAUCGGUGGGGGUUUUUAUUUGGUUUUUUUUUUUUAUUUUUUUUACACAAUUUCUUAUUUAACCUUCGAUCAAACAUAAUUAUCUUUUUGUAAUGCAUCCAAUCACUACAACAAAAUUUGUAAGGAAUUACAGGUUAUUGGUCGUACUCAACUAGUCCUACGACCGGCUUUGUCGCACUCAAUACAUUGUCCACGUACUUGCACUUAAAUCAUACUUAGGUUGGGUCAUUCUUCACUAACUUUGCAUCCUUUUUUUACAUGAUAACAUGUUCUUAUUCUUUUUUUUUUAAUCUCUCCAAUACUUAAUUCAUACACAAUUCGAAUAUGGGCACUUCCACCACAGUUGUUUCCUCAUCAGAAUUUGUCUCCUCAUUAUAGCCAAUAUUGUCUCUGAUUCAAAUCAUUCACUCCCAUACUCCUCUAGCUAGGGCAACAAAUGCACAUUGUGUCAUACAUCUCUAUGUGGCAUGAACUUAUUGAUGAUCAAAGUCCAGGGAUGAGCCUAGGUCUGAAGAUUGGCAAGACGGGCGGUUAAGCCACCCCCCUGCUGCACCGGACGCCGUAUUACAAUGAUGUGAUUGAUGAGGGCUCAAUGAGUCUUUUAGUUGAUGGUGAUAGAACCUUAAAAUGAUCGUCGUGAGACCUUCUGAACAAAUUCGGCGAAUGGCUAUUGGGCUUGCAUUCUUGGACCUUCAAACUUGGGGGUUAGAAGCAGGCCGCUGGACUUAGAGCCCAUCAAUUAUAUGUUAAUACUAUUACUGGAAAAACUAUUUGAAAAUCAUUAAUCCUCACUUGGGUAUAUUUAACAUUUUUGGUCCGGAAAUCCUAUAAAUCAUUUGAAUCUGAUUCAGUCAAUCCAUGUCAAAUUUGGUUUGAUUGAGUGGCGGAUCAGAUUUGGAUUAAUCCAAAUUUGAAGGUGAUGAGCGACGGGUGGGUAUUGGAUUCACUGAUAUUCUAUCCGACUCCGUUUAAAAGUAUAUAUAUAUAUCUGCAAAAAAAAUCUUAGAUUAGUCUGGUUUAUAUUUAUGUUGAAGGAUUAUUGUUUGAUUUAUGUUGAUAGUUAUUACAGUAAGUUUUUUUAAUGACGAUUUAGUAUUUUGGAUAAUUUGAUGAUUGUUUGGUUGAUUUUGUUUUAGUUUAAACUCGAUUUUUAAUCUUGGUUUAGUAUAUUUCGGAUCAAAUUCGAAUCUUCGAUCAAUCUAAAAUCUGACGAUGGGCGGUGAUGGUAUAAAAUUGAAAUCUAAUCGCUAUCCUCGGAUGAAAAUUUCCCAAAUCCAAAAAUACAAUAAAUUCGAUAAUAAAUUUAUAUAAAUCCGUCUCGGACGUACCGAUUACCAAGCCUACACUUUGGCAUGAAAAAUGGUACAAAAAUUGCUAUGGUCACGUGGGCAUAGCACGUGACAACCGCACGAGUCCACGACGCUAAUGGUGGCAACGCAUUAGCCGAUCUUUGUUUUAACAGCUAAUUAAUCUAAUAAUAAUAAUUAUUAUUAUUAUUGUUAACAUUGAUCUAAUCCCUCCCCCGGAAUAAUGGAUUAUUUAACUCCAUAAUGCACUUCCCAAUUUCUGGCUUAUUUAUAUUAAUAUAUUAUUUGACAAGUACAACAUUAAUAAGAAGAAAUAAUUUGGAUUUCUCCUAUUAGGAUACAGCUGGCAGUUCAUUGCCUCAGUUUAGCUGGUGACUGUAAAUUUUUUUGUAAUAAAAUUAGAUCUAAUUUUUAACAAUGUUUAUAAAAUCUCAAAAUUAUGAGAUUAUUAGGUGGAUAAGAUGAAAUCUUAAUGGACCUUGGUGGAAAGUGGGUCGUUUAAUGAGACUCCAAGAUGAUGAAACCGAAGAAGCUUUAAAGUCUUAAUUCAACAAUAGCUAGAUCGUUGUGUUUGUGGUACGUGUGUGGUCAUCUCAAAACACUGCUUUAAUUCGAUGGUUAGGAACGCUCUGAAACAGGAUGAAGCCAUAUUUCCCAACUUCGGACUAUAAAUAUUGUCAGAAGACAGACUAUCAUAAUCACAAAGAGAAAACAUUUAUCUCAUGUACGUAUUCUUUGUUCAUGUCCUUUCUCUUCCACAUGUACUCUUGUGUCACCUCUAACUCACUACUAUAUGUUUCUUGCUAGCGAGGAUAUUGAUAGGGUUAGGAUUUUUUGUAAUUAUCUAUCUUUAUGUGCAUGCUUUUUCAGUGAAUAUUAGCUCAUUUGUGCUUCAAUUCCGUGUGGUUUUGCAUCUUGACAUUGUAUGCUUAGAUCCGUUCACUUGGUCCGUUUCGGUCCAUUUGAUGUGUUUUUUUGUAGUAUUUGAUAUCUACAUGUACUUUAGAAACAUGUAGUCUGGCUAUAAGGCUACGAACCCAGAAUAGAGCACAGUUGGAGCUCAAACGGAAGGACGGUGCAAGAGCUGAUAAAGAGUAAAGGCUGUUACGUAACGGCAGUUGUUCCUUACGUAACAUGUAAAAUUAAGCCUGUUAUAUAAGAGUAAAGACCGUCACGUAAGGCUUACAUAACGUCAAUUGUUCCUUACGUAACAUGUAAAAAUAAGCAUGUUACAUAAGAGUAAAGGCUGUUAUGUAAGUAAAGGCCAUUAUGUAAGGUUUACAUAACGACAGUUGUUCCUUACGUAACGCUACCUACUAAACCUGCUAUAAAAGGUCACUAACUCAAAGUCACCUUACUUUGAGUUAAGACAAGUCAUGAUAGGGAAUGCCCUUGUUGUCAAUAUUAUGAUGAUUAAUCAUGUGGGGUGCAUAUUUUUUCUUCUGUUAUAUCGUGUCUUACAUAUCAAUAACUCAGGUUUAGAUAUAUUAUUAUAUGAUUCAUCAAUACGCCCUGUCAAAUAAAAAAUAGGUUAGGUUUGCACGGUUUUAGUAAGUCAUAUACACGGAUUGAGGAUUUUCAAAGUCUGUAAAAACUCUGAUAUCAUGUCAUGAAUAAUAACUCGAAUUAUUGGGAGGGGUUCAAAUUUAUUAUUAUAUNNNNNNNNNNNNNNNNNNNNNNNNNNNNNNNNNNNNNNNNNNNNNNNNNNNNNNNNNNNNNNNNNNNNNNNNNUAAAAUGAAAGAAAUCAAAGACCUUAAUAAGACGAAAUAAAAGAUGUUUUUUUUGCCACAUCAUUGACAACACUAAAUAGAACAUCAAUUUGGCUAUUCAGCCAAUAGGUAGGUUAAUAGGAUGGAUUCUCAUUUAAAUUAUAUUUUGAUUUACAAAUAUAAAUUUAUAUUUAAAAAUACCCAUCUCUCAUCUAUAAUAUUCUCAUUUAAAUUAAAAAUCAUUGCCACAUAAACUCCUCCUCACUUUAUAAUUCAAAACAAUCUUAUCGAUAGGAUGCUCUAAUCAACUAAUUUUUUUUCAAUUUGAUCUCAUCUCCCAUUUUCCAACAUUCUAAUUUCGACUUAAUAUGACCUAUUUAAAGCAAUGACGAGGAGAGAAAAUAAUUAAUCAAGUUUACUGUUGUUAAUUAGUUUCGAUGGAUGAUUAAUGAUUUUCUUUUUCUUUUUGAGGGGUAAUCGAUUAUGAUUAAUUAAUUCAAUGAGAAUUAGGUAGAAACCACAUAAUUAAUGCAGCGGCAGAAGAAGGAAGGAAGCAUAUUGUUGUGGGGGAUUAAACACGUGGCGGAGCUGAGUUGACGGGGAAGCACUAAAACGGUUUGUCGUCUAUCGCAUAAUCGUCGACACAUGGCUGCCUCUUUUUCCCCCACUCUUCAUCAUUUUAUAAACAAAUAAAAAUAUAAUGAAUAAAGUAAUCUGAGUUUUCAAUUUUUCAGACAAAAUUUAGGUUUUAAUUUGUCGACGGAGAUAUAAUUUAGGUUAAUCAAAAUCAGAAACAUAAAAAAUUUACUCUUUUUUGGGUUCAGUAACAAAAAUUGAUUAUAAGCUAAUACUCUUUCCUGGUUGACAGUUUCCGUGAAAUAUUAUAUUAUACGCCCAAUUAAAUACUACAUCAUUUUUAGCAUGAGUAUAAUUUUCUAAACAUUCACUUUUCACACGCUAGCUUUGAUGAGCUCCUUGAUAUCAAAACCAGCCACAUAUCCAAUCUGAAUUGCGAAAAUAAUAACCCAUGAAAAAAACAACCUGAAAAUAAAGUAGGCCGAAAUAUCGAUAUAUCUCGAGAUAGCCAUGAAAAUGGUCAAUAGAUUUGUGAUGUUCGUUCGGGUCACGUAAGAAGACAACUUUACGGCUAAUCCUAAUUGUCUGUCGUCGUUUGUUUUUCCUCUUCCUCUCAUAUGCUCUGCAUAUGGUCCACCUUUUUUCAAGUAAGUACAUAUUCCAUGAUGAAAUGUUCACUCAGUCUGAAAAUGAGAAAUUCUCACGUGUCUUUUUCGGGGGCAAGUUCAGCUUCAUCAUCGUUGCUAUCUUGUUGGAUUUAAGGAGCGUUGGAUAAGAUCAACGGCCAAAAUUACAGAUGGACUAAUAUGUUUGUUGCAAAACUUGUGUCGGGUCUCAAAUGGAACUGGAGUCCCUUCCGAAGGUGAAACGCUUCAUCCAGUCAGUUAUCACCAAUGCUCUCGUACGCCAGCUCACCAGCUUACUGUUCAAACCAAAAGACUGCAUUUUCAGGUAUCACAUUAGCAGGAGGAGAAAGGCUACUUUGAGUUCAUUACCUUGCAUAGACGGAAUACCAUAGCCAUUGAGAGCUAUGACCAAUUGAAACCCAGUCACCGGGAAGUUGGGCUGCUGUUUGUUCUCCUCCCAGAGGAGCAAACUGGCCGAAAUGUUUGUAACUGAAGCCAACAAAUUAUAACGUACGUGGUGAGGAAUGCGGUUCAUAGUUUCUUUGCAUAGAAUGAAAUGAAACUUUCAAGUUGGUAAGUUUCGUGAUUCAUUAUAGUCACUGAAUUGCAACUUUCAGCUGGAUGGAAGAAAGGACCUGAAGGGGCGAAACCGGUGGCGGCCCUCUCCUCUGAACCUCAGUGGCCCUUCUGGAUUCUUCUCAGCCGUUUCCAUGCGGUUGAAGCAAUUGGCAAGGUAGCUACCCUGCUGGGCUGCAACCUGAAACAGGAAACAAAAUAAUCAAUACACGAGAACUACGGAGAGUACUCUCUCGAAGAGUAUAGACUUCCUCACGUUGUAUCAUAUCAGUGUGUUGGAUCUUGUACCAGAUAUCAUGGCAUACAGAUCUAUCUACGGUCUGGAACUACUGUUCAAUCUAGUACCCUGUCCAAAUGUGACUGACCUCUAGUCUUGCUAAUGGUUAACCCUUAAUUGAACCAAACUAGCCGAUACAGUUCAAAUAUUGACGGAAUGACUUUCAGGUGUUGUUAACCAAAUUACUCCGAUUCAAACCAACCGCACCACUGUACGAAACAUGAAUUCCACACCAAAUUUUUAUCAAGAUUUGGAACCGUUUAUCACAUUAAAGUAGUAUAUAAACGCAAACGAUGUGUUACUAUAAACAGGAAGUUAAUCUUCUAGCCACUCCUUUUGUACUUGGAGACUAAGUUAUAGUUUCUUAUGUCCUUUUAUCGAUACACACGAGUACCAUAGUUCAAAAUUGAUGUUAACAUAUUAUCUUCUGCAACUCUUUGCAGGUCCAAAUCUUGUUUCCAUAGUGAUAAUAAUCGUUCAAUAUUAAACCGUGAAACAAAAAACUAUUACGCACCUGAGCUGUUGCUGGAAAGUUCUUGACUUGGGAAUCAACUUCCUUGAGGGCAGUUUUUAGCUCUUCAAUGCUAAGUUCAAUAGAGCCCUUUGAAUCGUCCCCUUGGGCAUCACUGAGAAGAUCAGCAAUAUUCCGCAGUUUCUUUGUCUUCAGAUAAAGACCCACUUGAGGGUACCUUUCACAGAUAUCGUCAAUUACUUCUUGAAGUUCCUUUACAGUGAGAGUUCCAGAGUUGUCCUUAUCUGCCUUCUUAAAUAUUGCAUCUAUAUCUUCCUGCAACCUCAGUGGUAAAACGGCAAGCAAUCACACGCCAAUUUGACAGGAAACUUGACAAGAGCCCAUUCGAAGAAUCUCAGAAGAGCAAAACUAUCAUCGUGAAGCUAAUAAAUUUCAGUAAACUGUUACUGCAGGAGGAGAAGAAAGAGAGCGGAGAAGGAGAGCCACAACAUUCAGGAUCCUAGCACAGAGCUUUAUAAGUCAUCAUUCCACCAAUACUUGCCAAAAUGAUGGGUUCAUCCAACUUGAUAUAAAGAUAAGGUAGAGGUUGAUCGUUGAUUAGUAAUCCGUAACAUGUAUUGUAUUGUAUAUGUUGUGUUGCAUAAGAACAGAACAGUUAAGUAGAUAAAAGUACCAUGACUUUCCGCUGGUUGAUUGUCGCACAGUCACCCAGGGCAUAAAUGCUAUCAGUUCCUUCAACGCGUAGCCAUUCAUCAGUUGCCAAAGCACGUCUAUUUUCCUGUUGGCGAUGACACAAUGGUGAAUGUUUGCCAAUACUGGGAAACUUGAAAGCUAAGUAAGCCAACAGAAAAUAUAGUAGUAUUUGAGAGUGGAAAUGGCUCACCUGACCAACUUGCUUCAUAAAGUCCCUUAUGACCGGAUGAGCUCCAAUUCCAGUUGACCAGACGAUCAUUCCGUACGGCAUGUUGGUAACUUGGCCAUCAACUCUAGCUUUAGCUGAAAUUUCAUUAUCAGAUACUUUCGUGACCAUUGAUCCCAAUUUGACAUCUAUACCAUCUCUUUUGAACUUAUCUUCAGCAAAUUCUGUAAUUCGUUUGUCAAACCUGCAAUCAAGAACUUUUGCAGGUAUGAGAAGUGUAGAAAUUCAAGGUAAUUCUUCUAUGAAUUACUCGUAUUAUUCGCAGAGUAAUAUAUACACAUAGCUAGUAUAGAGACUUACUACAAUUAGGAUAUACUACUUAUUCUAACUACCUUAAUAUAACAGACUACUUAUCUAGUUAUCAACUCUCACAAGGUUACACCGUACAACAGUAAAUUAUAUUUGUAAUAAUACUAACAAAUCUCAGCAUUUCCCCUCAAGCUUGGGCUAAAUAAUAUGGAGGAUCUUUGAAAGUUUUGUUUAAGAUAUGUCCAAGUGGAUCUGGUAUGAGCAGGAAAAAAAUGUUUAAACUGCUUUUCAGGUAUGAGUAUUCCACUUCCCUUUCUUCACACCACUCGUUGAACUUGAGAACGCCAGAUUUCAUCUCAACCUUUUCUAACUGCUAAAUCCCUUGUUAAAACUCCUAAGGCUAGUUCAAUAUUUAAAAAAUUAACCACAUGCAUGAUAGAACGGACACAGAGUUUGAGUUCUGUGAGCCAGAGUCUGUCACUCAACUAGACAUUUUAAAAUAACGAGUUCUAGUACCUAUUGUAAUGCUAAUAGUGAAUAUAUGGAAUAUAGUGAAAACCUCCAAACUAACAUAGCUCCAGUUAAAUAAUGGCGAAUAGACUUGUAUAUAAAAUCAUUAACAUUACACUUACAUCGUAAGGAUAUGAUCUGCCGCCUCGAGUAGUGUUAUCUUGACAUACUUCCUCGCUGCUGGGUACAAUUUGACUAAAUCUUCAGUCACAAAAUCAUGGAGUUCUGCAGCGAACUCCACACCCGUUGGGCCACCACCUACCACCACAAAAUGGAGGAUUUUUUUCCUCUCUUCGUCGCUCAGACUUGGCAGGCUUGCCUUCUCAAAACAGUCAACAACUGACCUACGGAUCCGCUGAGCAUCUUCGACUUCCUGCCAUGAGGAAAUCGGUUGCCAUGAUAACCAAAAACGAAGAGACUUAUACAAACUGUAUAAAAUACUCAACGAUUAACCACACCUUAAGAAAGUUGCAGUGUUCCACAACGCCAGGAGUAUUGAAAGUAUUGGGACGCCCUCCCAUUGCAAUAACAAGGUAGUCAUAAUCGGCAACAAAUUCUUCCUUCCCAUUUCCAUCGACGUUCUGAUUAGAAUGGCAGUGAACCUUCUUACUCUGAGAAUCGAUCUUGAAACAUUCAGCUUCCCAGUAACGGACAUCAACGUUUUUCUGCAGAAAACACAAAAAAGAUCAAGCACGACGAAUUAUGUUUAGUUUCCCCACAGACCAUAAUUGUACAAAGAUAGACAAUAAAAGUAACCCCACCUUCUUGACAAUGUUACGGAUCGGUUCCACGAUGCUGCGAGGUUCCACUGUUCCAACAGUAACACUCGGUAACAGAGGAGUGAAUGCAAAGUAAUUCCGAGGAGAUAUCACUUGAACAUCAUAGGAAGGAUCAUUCAACUGCUUCAAGAAACUCGUCCCUGCCCAUCCAGUUCCCAGAACAACCACCCUCUUCUUCUUGAUCUCGGGUGGAGCAACAUGACUCAACGAGUUUGCAUCAGCAUAAGCAACAAGUCCUCCACCACUACAACCAAACAACAACACCACAUGGCACACAAAUGUAUGAGGUUUCGAAAACUAUCUAAAUCAGUCGAUACGAAAGUUGAACAUUCAUCUGCCAAAUUUACAUUCUGAGAAAUUUCCCCAUACAGUCUUCAUAUUACAGACUAAUUCACAAAAUGCUCAAAACAAUCCACCAUGAGAACAAACUCGAUCAAGAAAUUCGACUGCCAAACCUACCUGCAUGAGCUCAGAAGUACGGAUCACUUCAAUAUUCUAAACCGUUCAGCGUCAUACCCAGUCGAGAAUCACAAGACUUAUAGGAAAUAGGAAACUAACGGUUCACAGAUCACAAGUAAAGAGUAGAAGGCUAGAAGCAACAGGGGAAAGGUACCUGACAGUGAAGACGACGACCAGUUUAGAGAGCGAGGAACUGUCAUGAUACGUUCUAGAAGCUCUCUCGAACAACUUGAUCGCUUUCAUAUUUUCUCACUGUUCUCCGAAGGAAAUCCCGGUGUCUCCGUAUCUCGCCGCCGAUUAGCACUACCCCAGCUCUCAAUUCACACAACGAUUUGGCUAAAUGAAUGAGAAUCAGUGUAAGAGGAGAAGAAAUGGAUGGAAGAAGGAAAAUUUUCCCCAAAAGAAUUGGAGAGGGAUGAGAAAAGGAAGGAAAUGAGGGAACGUGAGAGUGCGGUUGUGACUGACUGAGAACAGUUGAGCGGAGCCUGGCACGUGGCGUGAAAGGCUGGGCCAACUCCUGCGAUGACCACCUGUCGCUGGUUUGUUCUUAGUGACGUGGCUACUGACUCACAAUUCUUUAACCACGAUGGAUAUUAAGCCGAGAUGGAUGAUGAUGUUUGUUGAUAAUCAGGGAUCACAGUGAAAGAAGGAAACAGAAUCUGUCUGGUUCAACCGAAAUGUCAACUACAAAAUUCAACCAUACUCGAAAUUGGAACAAAAAUGCAGCAGAUUGCACAUCUACCAGAAACAAUGAUAUAACUUACGCUCAUCAAAUCAAUAGUCUCAUCUAACUCUCGUAUUCACAAUGAUGCAACUUACAACCCAGUACAGCUGAAAGACUACUUACAGAGGAUGCAUGACUUGAUGAGGUUGAGGUAAAUUUUCAGUUCUAUGAUCAAAUAGGGUUUUGUGAGAAUCCAAACUCGACGUAUCCAACAAUCAAACCGAGGAAUUUACCUUGAAAAUGGCACAAGUAGUUACAUAUCAUGCUGCCAGAGUCUGCAUUAUAACGGACCAUCUAUUGCACUGCUUAAGAAGAACAAGAGACUUCUCCUGGCAUCAGUCAAAUGCAGGACUCCUUUGAUUUAUGGAAAUUCUCGGUCAACUUAUGAACUGAACUUCUGCUUCUUCCAACUCUUCCCAACAGGCAAGGAUUUGGCAGUAUAUCGUGAAUUCGAAAGUUCUCGGGGUAUUGCAGCUCCGGAAGACUUCAAUACCUCCACAAACUCAGAGAAUAUAGUCUUAUUCUCUUCGUUGAUGAAGGCUAUGGCUUUGCCUUCUUCUCCCAUCCGAGAUGCCCUGCCAAUCAUAUGAACAUACUCCUCAAUGGAAUUCGGCAUGUCAAACACAAUAACCUGUCUCACACCCAACAGAUCCAUUCCACGACCCAAAACUCCAGUUGAGACAAUCACUGGAGCUUCCCCCAUUAAAAAUGCUGCCAUAAUUUCUCUCCUCUCCUUCAUCGGCUUCUCGCCGUGGAUCGAUAAAGCCUUCAAACCAGUCCUUACAGUGAUUGCAUUAGACAAGAGAUCUGCCCCUAGUCUUGAUCCCACAUAUACAACGGCUGGUGGGACGAAAUGCUGCUUACUCAACAGUAUGUCGAAGAGCUUUUGCUUCUUUUGCUUAGUUUCAACCCAAAUGGCCAGCUGUUUCACUGCCAUGCUUGGCCUGUUACGUAGGCCAAUGGAAAUGGAGACGAUUUCUUUGAUCAUGGAACUAGCCAACUUCUCCACUUCCUCUGAGAUCGUCGCUGAAUACAUCAACACCUGGGGUUGAGCGAGACUCACGAAAAUCUGCAUAACCUGAUCACGAAAGCCACUCUGGAGCAUGUAGUCAACUUCAUCAACCACAAACAUCUUUACUUCAUCCAGUUCAAUAUCAUGCUUUGUUAACAGAUCAAUGAGCCUUCCUGGGGUCGCCACAAUAAGCUCCACUCCUUGCUGGAGACGGUGAACUUGUCCAGCCAUUGCAUCACCACCAACCACAAGAGCAGUCUUGAAUAGUAAACCUUUUCCAAGCAACUUGGCUUGAUCCUCAACUUGUAUGCAGAGCUCCCUUGUCGGCGUUAGAACAAUCCCUAAUGGCUUCUUACGGUUCAGAUUUUGAUGUCUCGAACAACAAGUGAUGAUAGGAACCAAAAAGGAAGCGGUUUUACCAGAACCAGUUUCGGCAGAAGCUAACAGACUCUUGCCACUCAAACCAAUCGGAAUUGCCUGCAUCUGGACCGGUGUAGGCACGUCGAAACCUGCAGAUUCUAUGUUCUGAAGUAGCUUUGAUGGAAGAUUCCAGCUAGAGAAUGACAGCAUGGGAGGUGGAACCGUAUCAUCACCCUUAACAUGGAUGUCAAGCUUCUUUCUCGACGUGACAGUCUGAUCAGCAGUUAAAGACAUGGAAUCUCUAACGUAGAAGCACUCGUCCUUUGCAGAAACCACGAUUCGAUUACUUAUAGAUCCCCUGUCCUUGGCGAUGGUUCUGGCUAGUACAACUUGUUUGCACUCCAAACUACAUACGUCAUCAUCGGUUUCAUCACAGAUGUACUCGCCAUAGCGCCCACAUAUCACACAUUUCGGUUCCCCUUGCAGAGCUAAUCUCUGCUGCCUAGAACUCUUCUUUACCUCAUCAGAUUCAUCUUCAACUAAACAUAAACAGAAAGGGAAAAAAUCACAAGUCAUAUAUGGAAAAUGCCAUGAUCAUUUAAUUCAUUCUGCAAGAAAACUCAUACAGCUAAAAGAAUGUUAUGUUCGGCAAUGAAUUGCGAUUUAAACGCCCAGAUUCAACAUUAAGCUUAGACAUUCAGACUAAUUCGCAACUAAGAGAUGAUACGCAUCCAAUACCGAAAUGUUAGAAACUGCACCUGAGCGUUCAACUGCAUCAACUCCUGUCAUUGAAUCCAAUGAUGACCGUUUCGAGCGUUUGAUACGGCUUGAAACCCUAAAAACGCAGAAGACGAAGUGCAGCAACGAAACGUAACAAAUAAAAAGGUCGAGCGCCGAAGAAGAAUAUUGACGUAGGAAAGAGAAAUUGAAGGAAUCACCCAAAUGGCAGCCGAUUGUGAAGGAGCAGGAAAAUCGAACCUUUCUGGGGAAACGUCAGGAUCAAGGGACUGAUGUAAGGGAAUCUCUUGUGUGCGGAUAAGUUAUAGUUAUUCACAGGCAGGUAUCUCGUCGGAGAGUUCUCCGGCGACGGAUCAAAUUUAAAGAUAAUAUGGGGGCGUUUGAGAAUUGAGAAUUAAUCGCGAUUAUAAUGAGUUAAAAGUUUUAUUAGGUCUUUUAUUAAAUCAGAUAUUAUUUAUUAAAUUAAUUAUUUUACCACCUCAUUCUAAUUAUCUCCAGCCACCAAAGUUUUCACCGUUUCGAAUAGACUUGACAACAUAAAUAUUUAGGAAUGUUAUAGCGUACUUAUUAUCCAUUCGCAUCCGUGACAGUUAUUUAUAAUACUCAUCCAUAAUUUCAUUUAUGAAAAUUACUUCCAUCACUGAUACUCAAAAAAUUAACCAUUUUCUACCGCCAUGCGAAAAGGAUAAAAAUCAAAAGUCUAAAAUACACCCAAAAUGUGUAGAAAAGUGUGGAUGAGAUAAUUUUGAGGAAAGAAAUGAAUAAAAUGGAUUAAGAUUAUUUGUUAUUAGGGUUUUAUGUAACCUUGCUAUAUUGAUUAGUCUUGAUUUUAUGUACGACGAAUCGAAGGAUGUAGCUAUUGGAAGACGUGCUCAUAAGAAGGUGUCGGACAUACAACAGAGUAGUGAAAAAAGUUGUAUGGUUCUUGUCUCGCCAAGUAGAUUGUAUUUCAUUGUUAGAGUGGUGACACUCUACUAGAGUUUUUUGUAUAUAAUGUUCUUGUUUUGUUUCGCUUGAAUCAAGUAAGGGGCAAACCGGUAAAUGAACUAAUUUUAACAUUUUCUCCACUCUCCUUUCUCCUACUCCUACCCAAAAUUUGUACGGAGAACGUUGGAGCUCUUUAAAAAUUUUCAUUAAUUAGAUUUUGAGGAGCAGUUACACGGAAUGCGAUGGCUCGAUCCAUAUGAGCUGCAAAAGGUUUUGGCUCGUAAUCAUGAAAUCGAAUAAGUUAAAUGAGAAUAAAAAAUUUGGGGCUAGAUCGAUUAAAAAUUAGAAGGGGCGAUUUGCAAACUUGGUUAAAAUUUGGGAGGCAGAUCGAUUAAAAAUUAGUAGAGAGUAACGAUGUAAAUUUUGCAUAGUUCAAGAGUGCAGACGGGAUUGUUGUAUAUAUGCUACCUUUUCAUGUUCACGAAGCAUUUCAACUGGAAAAUGAAUAAAAAACAGUGUUCACAUUAGACGCAGGGGAGGUUCUUAAUAUGUUGCCAAACCAUCUUUUGUUUAAUCUCUUAACAGAAAAGCUUACAAUCAUCUCUUCUGUUCUCGAAGCCAAGAACAAGAAAGAAGAAUACAACCUUCAUUGGCAUUCAUCUGCUGCUUUGAAUAAGAGCUAUGAUGGAUGGUACGAGAGGAAGUAGGAGGAGGAUAAUGAACACAAUGCCAAGAAUAAUGGCAAUGCACGUCCACUUCCUCGAGCUCUUCUGAUGCUCCCUGGCCUCUUGAAGCUGCUCUGUCCCACGCCGGACGAAGGAGCUGGCGUGCGCCACGUGGCUCUCGAUGUCGUUGAGCUGAUGCCCCUGAGCCUCCACAAGUGCGGCCAUGUCCAAGAACACCUGAUGCAACUCGAUCAGGUUCUUCUCAAUCUCCUUCACCGCGUCGUGCCUUUCCUGAAUCUCCGAUAUCGUGUCGAGAAUCUGACCCCUGCCUUGCUCCUGGAUCGCCUUUUGAAGGAAGCUCUCGCUCUCCCCGCUUUCAAUCAGGUUCUCGAUCAAAUCCUCGCUCGCCUUCUCCCCCGUGAUGGUGAAAUACCUUCUCUCAACGGUCUCUUUAUACUCUGCCGACAUCUUAGCCCUCAGGUUUUGAAAAUCGUCCAUUAGGUCCUUGAGCUUCUUCCCCAAACCCCCAACCACGGACGUCCUCGUUCGAUCAGCUGACGAACCAGGACCGCAGCCAGGAAUGCUACGCGCUGCUGCAUUCGAUCUCUCCAAAGCUUCUAGCUUCCCCUUAAUGACCCUGACCCGCUUCAGCACCUGUGCCACAUCCGAAUCCAUCCUCGACCUCAAAUCCUUCACGGUCUUCGCAUUGUGCACGGUCUUGAUUUCCUCAUUGGAUUCUUGUAAAGAUUUGUGCAGCUUGGCCACUGUCGACAUGUCGUCCUUGACAUUUUCCACGUCUUGGAAGAACUUAUCGAGGUUUGUAUUCUGCUUUCCGGCCUCGAGAUCAUCUAUUUGAGUUUGCUGUUUCAGGUCCGUAUAUUUCUUAAACGAACUCGAAAAAAGGUCAUUCAUCUUGCCUGUAUUUGGAGAUGCGCUCGUUCUCAAUCGAUAUUUGUGGUUUGGGGGAGGUGAAAGGUUUAAUUUUCUUACUAAUUAAUUAUAAUUAGAUUAAAAUAAGUGUCAUAAACCUAUCUUCCUCUUCAUUAUACCUGCAUAAGUUCAUGAAGGUUUAAUGAAGAGGAAGAUAGAAAGGUAACAAUAAAGCAAGAAAGCUCUUUCUUGCUAAACAACAAGGUUUGGGAAAUUUAUCUUUGGAGGAACAAGGUAAAAAAGUAAGGGUUAAUUUGUUAUGAGCUCAUUGUAAUGAAUGGUGAAAAAAAAUUCCCCAACCUCCUAAAACCUCUUGUUAACUAAAAUUAGAUCGGUCAGUAAAAAUGGUGGAUGCAUUGGUGAAAUCGGGUAAUUGGUUAAAUGUCGGUUUUACGGCUAAUCGAAAAAAUAAAAUUAUCCUCAAAUCUAAAUGAAAUGCCCCAAAUUCAAUGGAAACUAUCAAAAUUUUGACAUUAAAAUGUCGGUUAAAUUAGUCGAUCCGUUAAAAAGUUAAUCGAUCUGAAUGUUCAUGUCAUUUUCUCCGACCGUUAAUCAACGGUUUAUAACUAAAUUAACCGACUUAAAGGGCUAAUAUUUGUUAUGUUCCAACGAUACAACCGUCUAAACAACUCCGACAAAUGAAGGGAAAAUAAGCCUAGGUAUAAGCCGAAAAGUUUAGUCCGAAAAAAAAAACAAACGACAAUAAUAUUAGGUUUGGCAAUAAAAAAUUAUGAUUUAUGAGUUGAAAUUAGUGUAAAAGAGAUGAAUUAAAGUUAACUUUUCUUUUACAAUCUUUUGUAACCACGACUCAACCUUAUCUGACAACGUCAUCUGACAAUCGCCGUAACACGAGGGAAGCACCACAAGCUUACUACCUCCGAUCCCACAUCCAACCACCACAAAUUCAUCAUGUUUGAACGGACCAAUGCUGGAUUCUUUAACCCAACACCAGUCUUCUUCCUUCAUAAACCAUACAUCAAAGUCAUGAGGAUCAUCCCCAAUUGAACUAGCUGGCAGUACUGACUUCCCAAUGCAGGUUCCAGGAUGGACAAGCAAAGCAACUGAAUCCUUGUACAUUACAAGUUCCUUCAUCUGACCAUGAAAAGAGUAACCAUCACUUCCACGUAAACUGAGAGGGACAGGGUCGCUUAUCACUCGAAAAGACACCCCAACGAUCAAUCAGUAGCAAGAUAUCCAGAUUCCAAGAUCUUUGGAGCCUCGUCGGAAUCUGGAAAUAGGUCGCCGUCGACGAGGAGCUCGCCGGAGCUGGAGGUUGAAGACAAAGCGAUCCUUUUGCAGUUUCAAAACGUUUAGUGGCCAACUUGAAAAUUCUGAAAGAUAAGUGACCUGUAUACAUAUUUGGUUAACCUGGGGACUAAACUGUACUUCCUGGGAAUAAGGAUGAUUGGACUUUAUUUCUCUAUUUUCUAGUGAUGGAACUGUAAGGAUCAGAAGUCCGAGAACUGAACUGGACAUUUGACCAGCGGGGCGUCCAAAUGAUAGAAUCACUCUGGAAGUUUCAGCAAGUUGCAAAGAAGUAAACGGAGCAUAACUCGGUCGUUUGAGCUCAGAUCGACGCACCAUCUGAGAUUGUGGUUUCAUGGCAGCAAGGGGGAUCAUCUUAGAGAUAUUUCUCAGAUGUCAGCUCAUCAAUAAGGUGGGUUAAUUUAAGGGGAUAAUAUCUUAUAGUUGUAGUAGGUUAGAUUAAGUUAGUUAAUUUCAUGCAUUUAAUUUAUGCCAUGAUUUCAUGAUUGAGUGUUUAUUUGUGACAUGUUAUUACUUUGAUGUUGUGCAAGUUAUGCCUCCUAUAUAACUAUAAGGUUAGACUAGUGAUAAUGUUAAAACUAUAAUAAGGUUAGACUAACAUUAAUGUUAGAUGAUGAUAAGAUUAGACAUGACCAGCGAUAAGAAACAAGAACACCUCACCUAGAUAUGUAAUAAGUGGAUUUAAAAUAUGAAACUCACUAGCUAGACCAUCGCCCUUUAUGAUUCAGGCCGCAACUUUGUCCACUAUGAUUUAUGGGCUGAGUUUUGCCCCCAUGAUUUACGGGCCACAGUUUGCCUUUUAUGAUUUAUGAUACCGUCUAAUGGAUACGUACUCUCAGACCUCCAUGAUUUUAACGCUAAGGUGGUGGGUUAGUAAGUUGAGUUGUGGAUGCCCCACAAAAAAUACGAUAUCUUAGAUAAGGUCAAUGAUAGCACAAAAAUCAAAAUCAUGUAAAUUGACUACCUCAAGAAUGAUGUUUAUGAUAUGACAAGUUACAAGAACUAUAGUUCUAUGAUUCAUAAUGCACCUAACUUGAUUUAAUUUAGCUUCAAUCUUUCAUGAUGAUUCCUUGAUGAUGAUUGGUUAUUGAUGAUUCCUUAUCGAUGAUUAAUUACUUGUUAUGUUUAAUUCUUACAUAAAGAGGAUUACUUUAUGUAAUAUGGUUACUUAGUUAGUACUGAUGAAUCUAUAUGUGUUCUUAUUUUUCUAUGUUCAGUUAUGAUGCUCAUAUGAUGUGCCUAUAUGAUUGAACUAGAUUAUGAGGUGAUUAGAUAACUAGUGAACAACAAGAACUACUCAAAGUGUAGACGAUUAAUAAAUGAUCUAGUAGUACUUACCUCUUUCGCUAGACCUAGGAUCCAUGUUUUCGGCGUACUAUCUUGGAUCAAUAGAGAUCCAAUACUUAUUUAAUUGGUCCACUAGGGACCCCCUAUGAUUAGACAUUGGGCCACUAGCUAGAGACCCUUAUGUUCGUAUUAGGUCAUUAGAGAUCCAUAAUUCCUCUUAGCCCGUCAAGUGGAUGGUAUGACUAGUUAGUUGAGUUAAACAAUGAUUCCAGUUAUGAUAUCCUAGAAGGAUGAUGUUAGGAAAAGUUAAACAACCUUAGUAGUGGUAGCAUAGUAGAAGAAAUGAAUGUUAGCUAUUUAUGAUGAGAUGAAGUUUAAUGUGAAUAAUGUGUUAGUAGUGCCUUAAUAUUAAUUGUUACGAUUAGAGCAUGAAAGGCUGGCCCCGAACCACCUAUCAGGGUGUUUUGAUAAUUGAUGUAGAAGCUGGGAGGAGCUGAUUCGGGAGGUGGCGAUAUGAACUUGUUUGUAAGAAAUGUUUAAGAAAUUUCCAUAUUAACCAUUUAGUGUUUAGGGUUUAUGAGCAUUUACUAGUAGUCAGUUAUUUACAAAGAUUUCUAUCUUUCUUUUUUUAUUUUAUUUUAAAGUUCUCUGGCAUGUGCAUUUUGGUCAUUUGAUAAUUCUGAAGAAAUGAGGGUAUUUCAUUUUGUGUUUGUUGAGUUGGGUUGUUAUGUAGCAAUUUUAAGGCCGAAUACCCAAAUCUAGUCUGAAUUUUAAGCGGAUUUUCAAAUUUAACCCGAAUUAUUUUGACCAUUAUCUAUCCAAUAGUUUUGAUUUUCUGACAGUUGUAGUUCGGUGACUACAUUUUUUAUUAAAAUUUUAACAUCGUUAUUGACGAGACAGAUAAAACUGACAUGACAUUCGUUUGAUCGAUUAAAUAAAAAUAUAUCAGCAACAUUUCAAUUAUAAAGUUAAUUAAAUAAGUGACAAAAAAAUUGUCAAUUCUUUCUUCUUCCCCCCUCCCCCCAAUCUUCCUUCACCUUUUUAUUCUUCCCCAUAGCUGAACCCAGAUCUGAAACAGUUCGAAGUGCGUUCCGUCCAUCGAGAAUUUCUUCACCCUAAUCUCUCAAUCUAAUCAAAGUUUGCUUUUUUUUUUGUCCAGCCGAACAAAAGUAAUUUUGCUUCUUCUGUCGAACCCAAAACUCCCUACUGCAGCAGAUUGGAGGUUUAGAUGAAUAGCUAGACUGAGCAGCGGCGAAGAUGAAUCUGAUUGGUUAUGUGGGAUCCCCCACUUAUUUGGAUGAAAUGAUUUAGUUUGUCAUCUGUCAUUUGUUCUUUGUAACAGAUACCUGGAAUUCGUCUGUGUUCGUUCAAUUUGUUUUGGUUGUAAUUGGCAGGGACGAUUUCUUGCAUGGCUAGUGGGUUCGACCCAGAUAAUUGUUUAUUCCACUUAUGCCGAACCAUUAAUUUGUCCAUUAUUAUCCCAACUCUCAUGCAUGCAUGCAAUUUGGCAAAAAACGAAUAGAGAACACCAUUUUGCAGUACCGACCUGUGGUCGAACGUACAGAGUUUUCGUCCUCCCUCAGCCGAGAAUCCCAUCUCCAUAUUAAUUGAGCGUGGUGAAUUAAUUGCCUACUGGCGCCUUCGCUGCUGCCUGCGGCGAGAAGGUAACCCCGACUUCUCAAUCAGAACCGAGUAACCCGUGUCGGUAUACUCGACGCUGGCAAGUCACUUAAUUGCGUAUAUCUCAGUUCCCGCCGGUAUGCAAAUUUGGUAAUAAUAGUAAUAAUAAUAAUAAUGUCAUUCAUAUUAUAUUGUUGCUAACCCCAUUCUUCAUCAUCAUCGUACUACUACGAAUAUUGAGACUCGUAUUCAUUACAUUCGUGAUCUUAGUACAUGAAGGUGGUGUGACAUUAAUUUGUACAUGAAGGCGCUACUGGUCGACAUUGGUUUGAAUUUGUCAAACAAAUGGUACGUACGUGUUAGGGUGAUUUGUUGGUGAUCCCCACUUCGGCCCUAGUACAAGAAAUAUAUAUAGACGGCUACCAUUAUAUUGUUCGGUACACAGACUACUCUAUCCUUCUCUAUAUUAAUAAGAUCUCUAUUUCUCUUUUAUAAAUUUGACCUUCCGAUCCGAAAUCACGUUAAAUCUUACGUCAAUACAGUUUACAAUUGCAAGUUCUCUACAACCGCGCGCACGCACAUGAACCUGCGGCAUGCGCCAUUGCAUGCGCGACGUUCGUUCUGAACAUGCAAAUGGGAAGUCAAAUGUUUCAUUGGAGUUGACUUCAAGGGACUUGACAAAUAAUUAAUUAAGAAUAACUCAAUGUAUGUGGCGAAUUGCCUAAUGGUGCCUCUUUUCCUCCCAAAUGACGACCUUUCGGUUAACAGUUUUUAGCAACACAAAAAAUCCUCCAAUUAAUUUGCCGACGUCGCAGUUUAGUUGUUGUCCCAUCAAUCCCUCCAUCGACCCAAAGACCACAAGAUUCUUAAAUUCAUUCUUACAACACACCUUCUCUAAUACCAUCUCGGACCACCUCUCACAAGCUGGGACUCCCAACAUUCGUCCGCGUGCAACUUGAAUGUUGUUUGUCAAUCGGGAUCUGGCACUAACGGCUAGGAUCACCAGCCCACCGACCUUCCCAUUAAGACGAUGUUAUUGUCCGUUCUGAACCAAAUCUACAUUUGUUAAUUUGAUCAUGAUGUGUUGGAUAGAGAUACAAUUAGUAAAGGGAGAGAAAGUUGUUUCUUGGAGUCGAAGAAAAGUAGUUGUAAUGGAAAAUCAAAGCAAUCAAUUUUAUCAAUGGCACUCAAUGUCGACUACUUUGGGUAAGACUAGCAUAUAUGACUAAUUAAUAUUAUUGUGUGAGCAAAGCAAAGCUAAGCCUAAGUGUGGCCUCCUCAUUCCACUCUUGGUCGGCAAGUAUGAAAUACUCAGGUACGUGCGUAUAUCAACUAUAUAAUUUAUUAACCUCAUAGUUAAGCCGAGAUAAGCCGAGAUAGGAUUACGCGCCCAAUUGAAUAUCACAUCGUUAAAUAUGAGAUUAGGUCAUAUACGCAAACCUUUACUAAAAUUAAUAAGGAAUUGAAUGGAACCGUGACAAAAUUAAUCACAGAAGUGAUGUACGAAUCAAUCUGCGAAAAGAGAUGGCUAAAGAACUCUCUGGGUGGUUUCAUGGUACCUGGACUGAUGGGGUUUCAGGCUGUGUUCCUUUGCUGGUGUGCCAUCAGAAGGCAAGCCCAGCUAGCUACUUGAUUUCUUCAUUCAAUCACUAGAUUAUUGGUUGAAUUAGUUAAACCCUUGUUGAUGUAAGACUUUUCGAUACAAUCUUCAUUCAAUCACUCAGUUGGUUGACUUAAUUAGCCCUUGUUAAUGGAAUAUAAAAAUGCAGUGAGCCGGCAUGGGAAAGAGUUGUAACAGGGAAGCAGAGGCUUCCAAGACAGCAAAUUGGCUCACCAUCACAGUAAACACAUCUCAACUCAACCCCUCUUCGUCAUUCUAUAUCGAGUCUGAAUUCUGUUGCAGAGCUUUGUCAUUGGACUACUGGCAAUUGUCAUUGGGAGCCGAAACCAAACGACGAAAAUGAACUAGUUUCUGUCGCCUUUUAAGUAAUUGGAUAAAAUGAUGAAUCUUAAUCGUUAUUCUUGUGGAAGAUGAUGUUAUCAGAGAUGGGAAAGAAGAUGAAUAUAAUUAUGUUAUUUUUAAUUAAUCGAAGAAGAUGAUAAUAACUCAGUUUUUAUUGUUUUUAAUUAAUUGAAGAAGAUGAUGAAUUAUAAUUUUUAUUUUUAUAGAAAAUGAUGUUAAUGAAUGAAUCUAACGAUAAAAUGGAUGUUGUUAAUUAACCAAAAUUAAAUGUUUCAAUGACAUUUUAUACAAUUAAAUUAGGAAAGCCAAUCAAAAAUCGCUACGUGAUAUUUGUAUCAGGUACAUAUUUUCACCAUAGUAUUAUCCUUUGUUAAAUAAGUACAAUUUUUUUUAUAGGUAUUCAUUGAUAGGGUGUAACAAAUUAGCAAGGGCAGAUUCAAGGGGUAUCCAAAGAAGCCACAACUCAUAAUAAUUUUGAUAUAGAGUCAUAAAUUAAANNNNNNNNNNNNNNNNNNNNNNNNNNNNNNNNNNNNNNNNNNNNNNNNNAUUUAGGAUAAUUUUAAAAUUCAGUUUAAUACUUAGUUAUGUUGAAAUUAGAGAAAAUUGGGGAAAAUUUAAAUUUUUUUGUUCGUUAGCAAAAAAUCACUUUUCAAAUCCAAAAAACAAACAGAGUGCUUAGUUACUAAUUUUGCUUAAUUAAUAAGUGUUUUGCAGUUGCGGAUAAACACGUGCCGCCCAUGUGCUACCAGAACAAACGAACAAGUCGGUUUACACAUUAUCAAUUUUCGCUGCGAUGUAUCAAGGAUAAUUUAAUAUACCAUAUUACGUAAGAGUUUAAAUAUAUUGAGUUAUAUAUAAAAAAAAGUUAAUAAAUUAAAAAAUACCAGCAUUUGUUUUUCUGGUCGGAUUUUUUUCAGCAUUUUAUGUUAUUUUCAAUUUCUAAUUUUUCAAGUCAUUAUCAAUUUUAUUUGUUAGUAUUUUUUUUUUUGCUUUUGUUUGACUUUGAAAAGGUUGUUAGGAGAUUAAGGAUGCGAAGUACAGUAACUAAUAAGGUUAAUGAUUUUUUUUUGUUAUCCGUGUAUAGGUAACACCUCAGAUUAUCAACCCAUGUUUUGUACAAAAAUUGUUGUUAUUAUUAGAUCACUGAUGUAUUUGGCAAUUCCUAUUUAAUUGAACACUAAUUUAUAAAUUUUAAUAGAUUGUAAAAAAAAAUACAAGAGAAAUUAUAUAUAUAACUUUGAACAAAUUCUGGCUCUUUAUAUCCCCUCUCAAAUUCUCGCUCUGUAUUAUCAACGGCUGCCGGAUUACUUAACACUGACCUGACAAAAAUGACGCCGCCGCGUUUUACAUUGAUCUCCACCGUCGUUUUAUCUGCAGCAGCUCUGCUGAUCAUCAUCCUCAACACAUCUGCUACAGAUUACUUCUCCCCAGUCGUCUACCGAAUUCUCGUCCUCUGGGCCUCCUUCUCUUCCACGUGGCUCACGCCUCCUUACCUCUAUCUCUUCCUCAACUUCAUCAUCGUCACCAUCGCCGCCUCAUCUCGACUCGAACGCCGGCCGUUGUUGGCUCGAACGUCCGAUUCCGAUCGUUUCGGUUUUUGUUGUGAGGUUAAGGAGUGGAGGCGACCGUCGCAGGAUUCGGGAUUCGAGGACAAGUUUGUGGUCUUGAAGUCGUCGGCGUGGGAUGAUCCGGCCAAGAAGAGGAUUGAAUCAUUGGAUAAUUAUUCGAUGGAAUCGAAAUGCCUUGUUUCUGCUCGAUUCGGAGAUCAGAAACCGGUCAAAGUCAGCCUCGAAGGUAAUAUAUAUUUUCUAGGUGGAUUUACAUUUUGAAUAUAUUUGAUAUUUCAAAUUCUUUUGUUUGGUUUGAAAUUAAACUAGGUAUGUAUGUUUGAUUACUCUUCUAUUUUCAGUUUUAUUUUAUUUAUUUUUAUUUAUUUUAGAUUACUGAUUUUAAGUUAUAAAUUCGAAUAUCAAAUGCAAAUCAAAAGAAUGAUGUAUCUUUUUUGUAAGAGGUCAUUUGAUGAUGAAUUUAGAGGAAAUUUGUAAAAUAAUUUUGUGGAUUAGAUGAUUUAAUUGAAAUAUUAUGUUUAAAUAUAAAAAUAAAGUAGAAUUUGAAAAUUAUAUUAUGGUCUUCCAUCCUCAAAUAUUUUUAGAUCUAAACAAAAAAUACAUUCCUAAAAUGCCACAAAUGCAAGAGUUUUCACAAAAUUUCAUUAAAUUUCCUUCAUAUCAAACGACACCUUAUAUAUUUUGAAUUUGUUACUAUUUUAAAUUAUUUUUUACCAAAUUACAAAAACCCUACCGAAUCUAUCGUGUGAUUUUGAAAGUGAAAGUGUACACGUUGGCAGGGAGGAGAACAGCCCCAAGUGUGACGAAGCAAAACAGAAGUGACACACUGGACGACACGUGGAAGAAGAUAACGGAAAGCCGUCCAAUUCCGUUGAAGAAACACCACAAGAGAUCAGACACGUGGCAGAAUACUAAGCACGGUAUUAGUUAUGCAAACGACGCCACGUCAGAAUCAUCAUGCCUUCACUCGACCACUCUUCCGCCGCCGGCCAUGAAGAAAUCUGCAACGUUUAAGGAAAGGACAGCCAACUUCCGGCUAGCCGGAGAUCACCAUCAAGUAAUCGCAUCUAAGCCCAUCGAUGAUGGGCCGACAAUGAAGAAGUCGGCCACAUUCAAGGACAGGACCGAAUUUCAGCUCCGGCGGCUGUCAAACGGAGGAGGAGGGAGGCUAAGGAAGGAGGCGUCGCUGAGUCAGGACGAGUUGAACCACCGAGUGGAGGAGUUCAUAAAUAAGUUCAACGAGGAGAUGAGGAUGCAGAGGCAAGAGUCAAUUAACCGGUACAAGGAUAUGAUUAGUUAAUCGGACGUUGAAGUGGUGACUGAUGUAUGAAAAUUAAUUCCAACUAAAUCUCAAUAAUUGAAGAGGUUAAUGGAAGAAAGAGAACGGGGCAAUAAUUAAUUCCUCAUUCUUCCUUUUCCUUCUGUCUUUCAACAAAUCAAAGAUGAAUUGCAGCCUCUGUUUUUUUCUCUCUGUUCGACGAACAACCAUCCUACUCACAUUCUCCGUCGUAAUGUUCUUCUUCGUUGUCCGCUCCAGAUCUCCUCUCUACCGGACCGAAUCCGUCUCCAUCAAAGGAUUCAAUUUCUCGAUUAAGCAAGUAAUUCAGAAGCCUCAUCGCCACGUCGGCGGUUCCAAACCUAAUAUGAGAAGAGUAACAUCGAGCAUCAGGAUCGAAAAACAAGAACAACUAGAAAGAGAGGCUGCCGAAUCGAAGAGAAAGCUCGCGAAAGAGCUGCACAAGACGGGGAGAGCAUAGGACGAUACUGGUCGACGUAUCUCUCGCCAUCAACAGGUUGCAACGAGGCGUGCGACUACCGAGGGCCUAAAGACGAAACGACUUGCCUGACGAAAUGCGGCGAACCUUCUCAAACACUGUAAGGAGGAACAUUUUAAAUCAUGUAACUCGAGUCAGUGUGAUGUAAUGGUUUAUGAUAUGGUAUCGAUCUUUAAAUAAUCCCCAUUCCGAGUACAUUUUUCGAAAUUAUCUUGAGUCUUCUAUUUGAGGGGAGUUUUAAUGAAAUAUAAAACUCUACAUAAAACAAGAAAUAUAAAACUAAUAAUCCUCUCUCAACAACUCAAAUUAUUAAGAUGUAAUAAUUCAAAACAACAUAACUCAACAACCUUCUCAAGAAUCUAACAUUGUUAAGAACAUGUUAUAUUGUAAAGGUACCAUGUUCCACGAGCAUGGGUUCAUCCUGGCGACAACCUGCUGGUCCUACGCGAGGAGCUUCGAAACAGUGUUAUCACACACAGGGCAGGAGAUAUGUUCGGUCGUCACAGAGAAGGAUCCACCACCACCGGAAUCUUGGAGACCGAACAUGGGAUUCGCAUCCCAGAGCCCUGAAGUUAGACUGAAAUGUAAACAUGUAAUCCCAUUAGUUUAGUUUUAUAGCCAUUCAUAAUUCGUUCAUGUCCAAAUCUUAACCACCAACUUUGCUUCAGUCAUGGCUUUAUCUCAGAGAUACCAAACCUUCAAAUCUAUCCUGACAGCUGUAAAUUCGUUAGUUUCUGUAGCAGCUCACUGUCAACAUCGUAACUCUCCGGUCGUAUACAGCUAACGAUUUCUCUCGUUAUACUUCUACCAAUUCAAUUAAAACUAACAAUUUAAGUAUGAUCAAGAGGAAAAGACAAGUUCUUGAAAGGGAUGAUUCAUCAAUCUCAACUUUUUAAAAGUAAUUGAAUCGAACAAACGUUGGACUUAAAUUGAAUAUUAAAACUCAUAUUAUCACUUGUAUGAAUCCGCAACACGAUCAUGCACGUGGAUUACCACUACUAGUUUCCCAAUUAAGGUUGGAAUAACCUCAACUAGGCUAACCAAUAAUGAACAUCGAGAAGUUUUACAGAGUGAUAAAGUGGUCUUUCAGAUUUAAAGAAAAUCACGAGUAAUUGGAAUUAGUGUUAACUUGGUCCAUCAACACAUAAACUACUGAUAACUACACCCAACUUGGUUCAUUAGGUGCAAAUUAGAGCGCUCGCCAAUUACAAGUUGAACAACCUUUAAAAUCAAAAGAAACACGAAAGGUAGAAUCGAGCUAUUGGCUUACUCCACCGAUAACUUUCAUCUAUCUCAGAUUGUUCAUCAUAUGAAUUCCAGAAUCAAUCAUAAAUGAUUUCAUAGAUUUGACCUAAUUCAAGUCGAAAUAAGAACAAAGGUGAAAAACCAACAAUUAAAGUAAUCUUUCAUUCAAUUCCAAUUAUCCAACUAUCGUCGACCCUAUACUUUUAAGGAGAAUAUCAUAGCUCAAAUCCUACAUUCCAACCAAAAAACUCUAAAAAAUUAACUACUCAUAAUUCUAAAAAAAAAAUCAGAAUACAACAUAACUACCAUUUUAAUGAGAAAAUCUUACUCUAAUCUUCACUUUUAAUCUCGUAACUUAACUCUCCUUCCUUUGUUUAAUGAUUCUUCUAAAUAUCUAGUCUUUCCAUUAUUUAAACAUUAAACUAAAUAAAAUAUCUUAAGCUCUCCCGUUUUCUUCUAAUAUUAUAGGAAGAGUGGUCAAACUUGGGGAAGUUCUAGACACUAGAAAAGUCGCACUUGAGCAACUGAGAGACCAAGACUGAAUUUCCCCAGACUGCCCUCGUUCACACGUAUACUAGGAAUACCUUUGUAGGGAUGUAACGGUCAUUGUACGCAAGAGGAGAAGAAAACACGUUAAUGACGGCGUCGUAUGAUGACCUGCCCCUUUUAAUUUUUUCUGGCGUAUCCCAUGUGAUUCUUAUGGUAUGUAUGACCAGAGAAUAUACGGCUGUUAGAUUAUUAUAUGCCCUCAUUACUGAUUUAUUAGUAGUAUUAUAUUAACCAGAAAUAACUAGUGUUUUACUGCGAAAAAUAAUAUGUUUCGAUAUAGAAAUUUAAUUAAAUGAUAAAGGGACACAUAUGCGCUUUCGCAUCUUCUUAACCCGAAAUGGCUGGGGAGAGGAAAGGUUCAUCUAAGAGUAUAUAUUAGCACUGAAUAUCGAAUAUGGACAUCAUUGCUUUGAUAUUGUCUUGUAAAAAAAAAAUUAUGAGAUGGGUAAGCUAGACAUACAACAAUUUGAAUUCAAUAAAGGGGUAGGUUACUAGAGUUAAGAUUUAUCAAGUUACGAAAGUCUGAAGUAGAAAUGCUAAUAACUGACCAUAUUUGGUCGGGAGUCAGGUCGAAGUGGGUAUAACUAUGAAGAUAUUGGGGUAAAAACUUAUUUCAGUUAAUUUUUUUUUUCAAAUGCUUAACUAAUUAACCAACCAAAUUAUUUUAUGUUAAUAAAAAUAAGUUUUAACCAUUAAACUUAACUCAAUAUUCUCCAUAAAUGCAUAUUCUAAAUUGGAGAAACAAUAAAUGUAUAGAGCACAUUUGUAUAGAGCAAGUAGUAUGCCAUAGUACUUAGUAUUACACAUUUGUAUUAUUCAUACAACUCUUCGUACGAAAUUAUAUGUAAAAGAGGUCGUCGAAAAAAAAUUCAGAAAAAAAAUUCCAAAAAAUAGAGCCGACAACGGUAAUCAUGUAUAUGCAAAAUAUUUCGUCAACGAAGGUCGGAGUAGACAAGAAAUUGAUCAGGAAAGUACAAUGACCGGAGACGACAACCUGGCAAUCGAAGAUGCUUUUCAGGUCCAACAAAAAUAUUUAAAACAACAUAACAAUAUUACCCCUUGUUAAUUUAACUCUUAAAUCACUUAAAAAUCUAAAAACUCAAAUUGCUCUUAAAUCGAAUUCAAAAAAUAAUGUCCCUGGCUCGAGAAUCGGAAUCAUGUUGUUGCCCUACGCCAGCUAUUACGGAGGUUAGAGUUUCUUGCAUCUCAAGUCCGCCCGCCACCUUCUUCUUCCAACUAUUUUGGCAACUUUUGCUGUUACUUUCUUUUCAAUUUGCUUCUGUUUCUAAUAUAAUAUUUUAUACAAUGUAAUUAGUUGGCAGCUCAAUCAAAGUUAUAUUAGUACUCCGCUUCUCUCUGUGGUUAAAUUCGUUCAAAAUCUUUCUUUCCACAGUUCUUGGCGCAGCCUGAAAUGGAAGAAAAACGCUGAAGGUAAACACUACUGACUCUUCUUUCUCAUCAACUACUCCUUCCUUCACCAUGUUUGAUUCAUCACCAUGUUCAGUCUCCGUCAGUUACGAUUGUUUUUUGUCUGCUUUGGUCUCUUGUUUGCCUAAUGAUCCUCUACCCAUCAAAAGUAACGACCGCCUAUCUAUGUCCAUUUGAUUCGUCGCAGUACAGCGAUUGCUCUGAAUCACACACAGGUUCUUAAAUUACAUUGUUCAAUCGUAUUCCAACCGUUAUUCUUUUACCAUUGGUACGUGGAAGAACAACCAGACUGUUUUUUUUUUCUCUCCAUGGUUUCUGCUAUGCUAAUCGUUGAUUCCACCAUCGCUCUAGAAUCUAGAUGAAGAAAUUUAAGUAUUGGGUUUUGUUUGUUCUUUAGUCUAAAGGGUUCUAGAACUAGAAAGAAAUUGGCUAUCUUGUUCUCAUCAUCAAUCAAUCCUUUUUAUAAUGCACACCACCUGCUCUACCUAUUGUCUGCACUUUAAUUUCACCUAAAAUUUGAUUCAUUCUCUUUUGUGGUUACAGGUUUAUUAGGGGAACAAAAGCUUGAAUAAAUUUUUGAUUUUUAUCUUCUGUCAUGGCAAUGGCAAGGAUUGCCAGGAGUGGGCUGAGAAGGACAGGAGCAUCAGCUUCUUCUGCCGAUUUCUUCAGAUUCUCAGAGCAAGAAGCUCCCAUACUAUGCCCUGCAGUUAUCAAUCCUGUCUAUCCCUCAACUUACAGCUCCACGAGGACUGUUCAUUAUAUGAGUUCCUGGAGCAGAGGAAUCAGGGGGACCCCAAAUUACCAUUCUCCAAAUGCUGAGCGGAUUGUCGAGGAGGAGGUUGAGGAGCACGAACUCCCCGAGACUAGAUACCCUGGUCUAGAGGCAACCAAGCCUGGCGAGAAGUCGAGGGUGGUAGUGCUUGGAAGCGGAUGGGCUGCUUGCAGAUUCAUGAAAGGACUGGACACCAAAAUCUAUGAUGUAGUCUGCAUUUCGCCAAGGAAUCAUAUGGUUUUCACCCCUUUGCUCGCUUCGACUUGCGUUGGUACGCUUGAGUUUCGGUCUGUUGCUGAGCCUGUUAACCGCAUUCAGCCUGCUCUGGCUUCUGCUCCUGACUCGUACUUCUAUCUGGCGUCUUGCCUUGGCAUUGAUGCUGACAAACAUGAGGUAUGGGUUCUUUUAUUUCUUUAGUCUAUUUUAUUGUGGCCAUUAGUGAAAUUUACUUGGUUACAAACCUUCAUCACCCCUUCUGUUCAGAAUUUUGCAAUCAACAUUGCCUAUACUUAAAAGUUUGGUGUUAAUUUUAUCUGGUAUCUUAGCGAGUUAUAUAACACCAAAUACAGAGAUCCUUAGUGUAUAAUAAACUUGAAAAUGAUCAUCAUUGUCGUAAACCGUUGCAUCCCAAUAACUCGAGUUGUUGGGAUAGGGAUCAAAUUGACUUUUGUAGGGUUCAUAUUGGUUUUUAUAUUAUUCAUCAACGAUCAUAACCUUGUGUUCAAGUUUCACGACCAACAUCAUCUAAAUGUUACGUUUAUGUCUUGGCAUAGUUUGGACCAACCAAACUCUUGGUUGGUCCAACUCUUCAUGAUGAGCCAAAUAAAUAGAUCGAUAGUUGUCAUAUAAUCGUUAUGCGUAUAAAUUUUGAGGCCGACGUGACAAAUAUUGUUACUGACUCUGCGGCAUAUGAUCAAUCAGGUGUACUGCCAGACAGUGACGAACAACGGGUUAAAUAAGGAACCACACAAAUUCAAAGUUGCAUACGAUAAGCUAGUGAUUGCUGCUGGAGCAGAGCCAUUAACUUUCGGGAUCAAGGGUGUGGAAGAACAUGCAUUUUUCCUGAGAGAAGUUAAUCAUGCUCAGGAAAUUAGGAAGAAGCUCCUCCUGAAUCUAAUGCUUUCUGACAGCCCUGGUACUGUGAACUUAGUCAAGCUUGCUGUGAAGUUUGUUUGGCUGUCUUUCCCAAGGCUGACUGUGGAGGGAAUUGCUUUUCAUUCAUUGACUGAUUUGCAGGGGUGCCUGAAGAAGAGAAGAAGCGGCUUUUGCACUGCGUCGUGAUUGGUGGAGGUCCGACUGGUGUGGAAUUCAGUGGCGAACUCAGUGACUUCAUUGGUAAAGAUGUCCGUGAACGGUUUUCUCAUGUCAAGGAUGAUAUCAAAGUUACUCUUAUUGAGGUAACCACCUUAUCCUUUCUCCCCAAACCCAUGUCAGCCUACUUAUCUAACCACUUGUUUUAUUACUUGCUGAAACAAACGAAUGUAUGUGAACCAGGCAAAUGAAAUCCUGUCGUCGUUCGAUCUUGGGCUAAGACAGUAUGCAACAAACCAUUUGAGGAAGGUACUGGUUGAUAAUCUUUACUAUUGUCGUUUCUUUUAUUGAUAAUCUAGCUAAACCACGACAGAGACUGACGAAUGCUUGAAUCUGUUGUGUUUUCAGUCCGGAGUGAACCUGAUGCGUGGUGUGGUAAAAGAGGUGCAUCCACACAAGAUCGUUCUUAAUGAUGGCACUAAUGUUCCUUAUGGCCUCCUCGUCUGGUCAACCGGCGUUGGUCCUUCUCAAUUCGUCAAAUCCUUGGCACUUCCCAAAUCACCUGGUGGAAGGUACAUUUCUUACUUACGCAACAUCUGAAAGAUUCAAUUUAUUCUCAUCAACUAAAAAACUACGUUCAGAUAUUUUCUAUAGGUGGUAUUGUAGAGUGAAAUGGUGUAGAUUUGAGAAUAUGAGAUUUACAUUGUGCAAAGAACUUGUGGUGAAUAUGAGAUUUACAUUCCGCAAAGAAUUUGUGGUGCGGAAAUUAUUUUGUUUGGCCGAUGCAUUAUUCAGUAUAACAUUUGAUACGCAAAUAUCACAUUCUAGAAAUACUGCAGUAUUUCCAACAUCUUAAGUGAUAUUUGAAAUAACUCAAAAAUACCACCGCUCGGAAUGCAACACCUUAAAGCUACCUUAAUAAAAAAUUGACCACAAACCAUGCAAUUUUCUUGAGCAGGAUUGGAGUGGACGAGCAUCUACGAGUUCCAUCAGCACCAGACGUGUUUGCAAUGGGAGACUGCGCAGGUUUCCUCGAGUCAACGGGCAAACCGGUUCUACCAGCUCUAGCUCAAGUUGCAGAGAGGCAAGGCAAAUACCUGGUGGAGCUUUUCAACAACCGGAUUGGGAAGCAGAACGGUGGAAAGGCCGCCACUGCCGGAGCAGAGAACGACGACGCCGUAUUGAGAGAUCCGUUCGUGUACAAGCACAUGGGAAGCAUGGCCACCGUGGGAAGGUACAAGGCUCUUGUGGAUCUCCGGCAGUCUAAAGAUGCAAAGGGUCUGUCGAUGGCCGGGUUCUUGAGCUGGGUGAUUUGGCGGUCUGCGUAUUUGACACGUGUUGUGAGCUGGAGGAACAGGUUCUACGUGGCGGUCAACUGGGCUACCACCUUCGUUUUCGGCAGAGAUAGUUCCAGGAUAUAGAAUAUGAAUAUUGAAAACCAACAUUAAUUGUGGUGAUUGGGAUUAAUUAUUAAAGCAUGCAGACAGGGAUUAAUUUUUAAAAAUCAUCUGUAUAAUUUGAAGUAUUUGAAAUAACUUUAUUUGAAUUUUUUUAAAUAUCACAAUUUAAAAUAUAAUGAUUUUUGUUUUGAAUGACAAAUUAUGUAUUUUUAACCUAUAUAAUAAUUAUUUUUAUUUGAGUUAUAUUGGUUAAAAUAUCACAUCCCAAACUAUCUGUAAGAAUAUCAAACCAGUAAAUUGGACGGAGCCAUAGAUCAAGUUAAUCAGAUUUCAAAUUCAUAAAGUAACGUAUUCAUCAAAUUACGAGUUCAUCGUAUACCGGAUUCGUCGGGUCACAAGUUUAUCUUAUCUCGAACUGGACAGAUUCGAGAGUUUUAGUAUUUUUGUGAGCCGGGUAACGAAUUGAUCUGGGCUGGUUCAUGGAGUCGGGCUCUAGUUGGAAAAUCAAACUAAAGAAGGAGAAGUGGAUUUACAAACAAUCAAACAGCAAUUCAGUACAAUCUGUCCAUACCAAGUAUUGUAUAGGAUCUUCAAAUUUGAUUGAGAUUCGAGAUAACAACAGAGCAUAAUUGAAUCAACAGAUCAAGAUCGGCACGUACUAGUACUGAAACAACAAAAUAAGCAACUGAUGAUGAGCUUAAAGCAGAGCAUAAAGUUGUCAUCUACAUAUGUACAUCCGCACGCAGAAGCUGAUUUCUCUCAACUCAACUCAAGGUAGGAUCAAUUCAUCACGAACAACCACAAUAACAUUAUUCCGGCGACUGAAGGAGAAGACGAUUGAAGCCAAGGAGUGAGCCAGCCCGGUAACGAUCGCCACCUUCACUUUCCCUCUCUUCGGUAUCAGCCGCCGCGAAUUAGCCAUUAUCUCCGAUUUCAGAAAGAUUGUUUCGGAUUGAAGAACGAAGAAGGUUAGAUGCAGGAUGGAUAAGCCUUUAAAUUUGAUCGGUGAAGUUCGUUUUGUUUCGAUUUGACGACGACAGAUGCAGAGGUGUUUAUAUAGAUUUUAAAAUUGUGCUGGGGGCCGGGGAAAGGGGGCUUGGUUUUGGG
rnacentral:lncRNA from 1 species